rnacentral:lncRNA from 1 species
CAUUCUAAUUACAGUAUCUACUGACAUUAAAGAUAAUAUUUUAUUGUUUGAUUUGCGUGAACAUUGUUAAAUAGAUACAUUUUUCAGAGUUUAAGACUUUUUGUUAGAUAUUUGAAAUCGUCUAAAUCGAUUUGUGUGGUGCCAUUUAAAAUUGCAUCCACAUACCCCUAUAUGUGAUAUUUUUACCUUUUAUGUCUGUUUUGAUCACAUCGUUGUCAAUAUAAUGGAAUUUGAUGCGACGGUCAUACAGGUUUAGCUAGCUAUAAUUCCAGGUUUUAUCAACAUAAGAAAAAUGCCUGUACCAAGUAAGCAAUUUGACAGCUCUCAUACAUCCCGUGAUGUGGGUUGGUUU